UGGGGAAUAUUGGACAAUGGGCGCAAGCCUGAUCCAGCCAUGCCGCGUGAGUGAUGAAGGCCUUAGGGUUGUAAAGCUCUUUUGGCGGGGACGAUAAUGACGGUACCCGCAGAAUAAGUCCCGGCUAACUUCGUGCCAGCAGCCGCGGUAAUACGAAGGGGACUAGCGUUGUUCGGAAUCACUGGGCGUAAAGCGCACGUAGGCGGAUUUGUAAGUCAGGGGUGAAAUCCCGGGGCUCAACCUCGGAACUGCCUUUGAUACUGCGAAUCUUGAGUCCGAUAGAGGUGGGUGGAAUUCCUAGUGUAGAGGUGAAAUUCGUAGAUAUUAGGAAGAACACCGGUGGCGAAGGCGGCCCACUGGAUCGGUACUGACGCUGAGGUGCGAAAGCGUGGGGAGCAAACAG
rnacentral:rRNA from 1 species